GAGCAGCCGCGGGAAUACGAAGGGGGCUAGCGUCGUUCGGAAUUACUGGGCGUAAAGCGCGUGUAGGCGGGUCCUUAAGUCAGGGGUGAAAUGCCAAGGCUCAACCUUGGAACUGCCUUUGAUACUGGGGAUCUUGAGUCCGGAAGAGGUAAGUGGAACUGCGAGUGUAGAGGUGAAAUUCGUAGAUAUUCGCAAGAACACCAGUGGCGAAGGCGGCUUACUGGUCCGGAACUGACGCUGAGACGCGAAAGCGUGGGGAGCAAACAGGAUUAGAUACCCCGGUAGUCCCUGUCUCUUAUGC
rnacentral:rRNA from 1 species